rnacentral:rRNA from 1 species
UACAGAGGGGGCCAGCGUUAUUCGGAAUUAUUGGGCGUAAAGGGCGCGUAGGCGGCCAUGCGUGUCUUCCGUGAAAUCCCUCGGCUUAACUGAGGACGUGCGGAAGAAACUGCAAGGGCUCGAGUCCGGGGAGAGGGGGGUGGAAUUCCCAGUGUAGCGGUGAAAUGCGUAGAUAUUGGGAGGAACACCGGUGGCGAAGGCGGCCCCCUGGACCGGUAC